GACAGAGGGUGCAAACGUUGUUCGGAAUUACUGGGCGUAAAGCGUGUGUAGGUGGCCUCGUAAGUCGGAUGUGAAAGCCCCAGGCUUAACCUGGGAAGUGCACUCGAAACUGCGAGGCUUGAGUAUCGGAGAGGUUGGUGGAAUUCUCGGUGUAGAGGUGAAAUUCGUAGAUAUCGAGAGGAACACCGGUGGCGAAGGCGGCCAACUGGACGAAUACUGACGCUGAGACACGAAAGCGUGGGGAGCAAACAGG
rnacentral:rRNA from 1 species